rnacentral:lncRNA from 1 species
GAAUUAAAAAUUUAGGUAGUCUGGCACCAAAGCACGUUGAGUUGCUUGCAAAUCAUCGUGGUGAUCUUAGGUUGGAGAGACACUUAUACCCAUAUCCCUUUGGAGUGACUCUUGACAGUAGAGUACUCUAGAGUUGGUCACUUUCAGUGAAAUAUACUUCUACAUUUCACCUGCAUGCUAUAUCAGCAUCUCUACGCUCCUUGGUUAAAAGGACAACCAACCUAUAUGGCACACAAUAACCUACACUUGAUAUAACUAUCAUCCUAGUAAUAGCCUAUCAUUUGGUUGCGAACUCAUUUAAGGACUAAAC